rnacentral:rRNA from 1 species
UGGGGAAUAUUGCACAAUGGGCGCAAGCCUGAUGCAGCCAUGCCGCGUGUAUGAAGAAGGCCUUCGGGUUGUAAAGUACUUUCAGCGGGGAGGAAGGGAGUAAAGUUAAUACCUUUGCUCAUUGACGUUACCCGCAGAAGAAGCACCGGCUAACUCCGUGCCAGCAGCCGCGGUAAUACGGAGGGUGCAAGCGUUAAUCGGAAUUACUGGGCGUAAAGCGCACGCAGGCGGUUUGUUAAGUCAGAUGUGAAAUCCCCGGGCUCAACCUGGGAACUGCAUCUGAUACUGGCAAGCUUGAGUCUCGUAGAGGGGGGUAGAAUUCCAGGUGUAGCGGUGAAAUGCGUAGAGAUCUGGAGGAAUACCGGUGGCGAAGGC